UCUUCAAUGGUAUAAUGGUAGAACUCACGCCUGUCAUGUGGGGAACUUCCGCACUGUCUCGCGUGCGACCUGGGUUCGAUUCCCAGUUGGAGAG